ACAAACCCGAUCUAGAAUGUUUGUUUGACAACAGAUAGAGAGAGAGACGUAGGCCAAUAGGCAAAUCAGAAAUGGUAUCUCUCUCUCGUCAGAUUCCUGGCAUUAUUGCUGGUACUGGAAGCUGGUUUGAUGUUGAAGCUCACCAGUAACAACCAAUUCACUCCAAACAAAAAUAGGUGUUAACAAGGCCAUGCGUAACUUGAAGUUGAACUGUUUUGGUGCUCAAGUCAAGUGUAUUGAGUAUUUUUGUACUGUAAUGUAUUUUUUACAAUGCUUUGUUAAUUGUACUUUCCUCAAGUAUGUAAUUAAAACUUAAAACACCUUACUGCUUGCUUUUUAGUAUAAAGAUGUCAUGUUAUUUUC